rnacentral:rRNA from 1 species
CAGCAGCCGCGGUAAUACGUAGGUGACAAGCGUUGUCCGGAAUUAUUGGGCGUAAAGCGCACGCAGGUGGUUUAAUAAGUCUGAUGUGAAAGCCCACGGCUCAACCGUGGAGGGUCAUUGGAAACUGUUAAACUUGAGUGCAGGAGAGAAAAGUGGAAUUCCUAGUGUAGCGGUGAAAUGCGGAGAGAUUAGGAGGAACACUAGUGGCGAAGGCGGCUUUUUGGCCUGUAACUGACACUGAGGCGCGAAAGCGUGGGGAGCAAACAGGAUUAGAGACCCCCGUAGUCCCUGUCUCUUAUAC